UUCUCAGCACUUUAAAAAAUGUAUUCUGUAUUUUAAGGCAUCAAAUUUUGUGGUGGAGCUGGUGCACAGGAGCGCAAAUCUCAGGGAGAGUGAGAUUAAUUACCAACAUUCAGUAUCGACACAGGGAUUCUCUGCUCAUUGUAAUUAUUCUCACAAAGGCCAUGAUAUGAUGUCCAGGAAAAUGAAUUUAUGCUGUUUCCAGAAGAGCUGAGAUCAGCAUGUCUAGCCUGAACUUAGCAUAG
rnacentral:lncRNA from 1 species